UCCAAAAAACAGAACUCUGCAAAUAGUCGCCGUUACUUACAGUCGCCGUUGCUCCUGUUAUACCAUUUUCCGACAUGCUAUUUGUUAAAUCCUACCGGAGGGUCCUCCAUAGCUCAACCUCCGGCACCCUUUUUGUCGAAAGAGCUGUAUCCAUUCUCAAAGGCCACGGACCCAAUUUCCCUGAACUCCAGUUCUUCCGAAUUUUUCGAUAAAUUCCUUGUUCUAAAAAACUCAUCAACUGGGCACGUAACCGCCAUUUCUUCAACCUUAACUGUAAGUGCAUUUCCAUUCAUAUCCUUACUCGUUUCAAGCUCUACAAAACUGCACAAUCCCUUGCGGAGAACGUCGCGAAAUUCGGCGAUAACAAGGAAACCUUCAACUGGAGAAAUGGGCCACAUGAAAAGCCAAUGCUCUGCAAUGCAUGUGGACUAAGAUGGCGGACAAGGCAGACACUAGAUGGCUGUGUUCCCAAACAUGCUAAUGGAGAAAUACAAAGCUCUCAGUUACCUUCUGAGAUUAAGCCGGCUCGUGAUGACCAAAAGCUAGAAGUUGGAGUAGAGGUUUCUGGACAGCAUGGCUCUUCAGCUUGUCUUGAAGAGGAGAUGAAUAACAUAUCAGCCAUAGGUUCUGCUGGAUCAGCCUCAGACAACUGCAUUCAGAUGGAAGAAACAAAUGGCAAAGAUCCUCUCUGGAAUAUUGACAGUGUGCCCAAAAGAAAGAGAUUAGUGCUUGGACAACCUAUUUGGUCAACUGUUGAAAGAAUCCAGAGGCAAAUUCAUAACAAUCUGCAGGCACCAGACUAUGAAGAUAUAUCUGACGGUGAUGAAACUAUUACUCUAAUUUAUGCUAGGAACCAAUAUAUUCCACCUAAUGAGAUUGGUCUUGGAGCAAUGCUGUUCGUACCACCACCAACUACUACAAAAUGCUUAAUGUCUGUUAACUCAAUGGCAGAAGAUAAUGCCUCUUGUUCAAUGUAUGUUCCUAUAGAAAAUUUGCAUCUGUAUGUGAAUCUUGAGAUGCAUGCAUAAGAUUCAAAAUGAUAUGUGAAGCCAACUCUUAUUGUUUAGCUAGUGCAAUGUUGGUUAAAAACAAUUUGUGCCGUUCCAACUUUAUUGGAUGUCCCCACUACCAACGCAAAACAACUUUGGUGUUUUGAGACCAUCUAGUUUGCUAGUUAUGCAUUUAUUUUGGAGAUAUAUAAUUCUUCUGUUUUGUUAGAUGGAUUUCAACGAAUUAGAUAUGUCAAUUUUGCUUUUUGGGUGCAUUUAAUCUAUCAAUUUCAUUGUCCCAUCAUCGCGUGCUUACCGACAAGUUUGUUAGUUGUGUGGACUCCAUGGUUGACUUAUAAUCUUUUUUGGCUAAGUUUCUAAAAUAAGCUCAUUUUGAAUAGUGUUUUUUUUCCAAGUGUUGUUAAAAAAAGUACCUUUAGGAGAGAAACAAUUUGUGUUUAGCCAAUAAAUUUAGAACAACAGUUAUGAGCGGCAAUUAGUGCUUGAUUGAGCUUUUUAAAAGCGUUUUCAAGUGCAUUUUUCUCAAAGUGCUUCUUAGCUUUUGAAAACAACUUAUUCUUCUCCCCUGAAACACUUAUUUUCUUCCAAAAGCUUGGCCAAAGUGUCACUUUUUAAACUUAGCUCUUUUUAGAAAAAAUUAAGCACUUUUGAGAAAAAUGAGCUCGGCCAAACUGGUUAUUACAUUGUAACAUUUCAAAGACCACUCGAAAUGCCCGAUUCAACAUUUAGCUCAAUCUAUUCUAGGUGUGUUACAAUGUCUACUUCAUAGUACUUCAAAGUCUACCAAGUAAUAUAAAAGGAUAAAUCUAUUUUGAAGAGUGUUGUGUUGCUACUUGAGGGCAUUUAUGAAACUCCGUACUAAAUUAUCCGAGUCUUAAUUGCUCUUGGAUUGUGUAUUAAUGACUCUCUAGCUUCUCUUUUUAGUGUAAAUGUAAAUAUUAUUGACUUCUUGUUACAACUCAAAAGGGGAUCGAAGAAACUUUUUGGUCGACUUAGUUUUCAAACUUUUUCUGGUUGUGCAUACCAUAUCCUAAAACUGAUAUUCCUGUUACUAAUUAUCAGACUUUCAUCUCCGUAUAUAGAAGGAGAUUCUAUAGCAGCAACUGUGUUUUAUAGAACAAUUUAUUGACAUACCCUUGAUGUAGUAUCCAUAUAAUGUGGAACGAGUCUAAUUUCACGUGCAUUUGCUCUUCCACCCUUAUCUCCGAUAGUUUCAUUUUGAAUAGCCACUUGAUUUAGCACAUUAUUGGUUAUCCUGAAACAAGAUAUAAUGCAAGCCAUUACAAUUGUAAUGAUAAUAAUAUGCAAGUCAAAUGGUUUUUGAGAUGUUACAAGUUUGGCCAAGCUCAUUUUUCUCAAAAGUGCUUAAUUUUUUCUAAAAAGAACUAGUGCUUAAUUUUUUUCUAAAAAAAACUAAUGUUAAAAGUGAUACUUUGGCCAAACUUUUGGAAAAAAAUAAGUGCUUUGGGGGAGAAGAAUAAGUUGUUUUUCAAAAGCUAAAAGAAGUAAUAAUCCCGUAGAAGCAUUUCGAGGAAAAUGCACUUAACAUCGAUUUUAAAAAGCUUAGUCAAGCACUAAGCACUAAUUGCUGCUCAUAACUCUUUUUUAAAAAUUUGUUGACCAAACACAAACUGCUUUUCUCCUAAAGUACUUUUUUUGAUACACUUUUGAAAAAAAUAACUGAUCAAAAUGAGCUGAUUUUAGAGGUUUAGCCAAAAAAGGCUGUAAGUCUACCAAGGGGUAUAGACAAACUAACAAACUUGUAAGUAAGCACGCAGUGACAGACAACGAAAUUGAUAAAUUAAAUGCAUCCAAAAUGCAGAAUUGACGUAUCUAAUUCAUUGAAUCCAUCUCGUAAAACGGAAGAAUUUUAAAUCUCCAAAAUAAAUGCAUCACUGGCAAACUAGAUGGUCUCAAAACACCAAAGUUGUUUUGUGUUGCCAGUGAGGACAUCCAAUAAAGUUGGAACAACACAAAUUGUUUUUAACCAAUAUUGCACUGGCUAGGUAGUAGAGUUGGCUUCAUAUACCAUUUUGAAUCUUAUGCAUGUAUCUCAAAAUUCACUUACAGAUGUGAAUUUUCUACAGAUACAUACAUUGAACAAGAGACAUUAUUUUCUGCCAUUGAGUUAACAGACAUUGAGGAUUCUGUAGUAGUUGGUGGUUGUACGAACAACAUCGCUCCAAGACCAAUCUCAUUAGGUGGAAUGUAUUGAUUUCUUGCAUAAAUUAGAGUAACAGUUUCAUCACCGACAGAUAUAUAUUCAAAGUCUGGUGCCUGCAGAUUGUUAUGAAGUUGUCUCUGGAUUCUUUCAACAUGUGACAAAAUGGGUUGUCCAAGCUCUGAUCUCUUUCUUUUGGGGACACAGUCAGAAUUCCAGGGAGGAUCUUUAUCUGCUUCCCCUAAGAAAAGGUGAAUGUUAUUUGACAAAACAAUAAGUCAAACAGAAACCUCCAAUUGGAGAAAUGGGCCACCUGAAAAGCCAGUGUUCUGCAAUGCUUGUGAACUAAGAUGGCGGACUAGGCAGACACUAGAUGGCUAUAUUCCCAAACAUGCUAAUGGAGAAAUACAAAGCUCUCAGUUACCUUUUGAGAUGAAGCCGGCUCGUGAUGACCAAAAGCUAGAAGUUGGAGUAAAGGUUUCUGGUCAGGAGGCUCUUCAGCUUGUCUUGAAGAGGAGAUGAAUAACAUAUCAGCCAUAGGUUCAGCAAGAUCAGCCUCAGACAUCUGCAUUCAGAUGGAAGAAACAAAUGUUGUAGGUUGGGUGCAUAUACCAGCAACGCAUUGACAAAAAGGAUGAACAGACAAUUUUUUAAUUCCUCUCAGCUUAUUUGAAAAGGUGAAACAAAACUUAGAGAAGGAAGUGAGUUUCAUUCAAGAAAAUAUGCAAACUCCAGAUAAUACAAAGAUGUUGAGGCAAUAGCUCAUGCUACAAAUGAACGUCUUUUAAACUGCUUGCAGAACACACAAAAGAACUCUUGCAAAGAGAUAAUACUAUUGACAUGCCUAUCGUAUCUCAAAGGCAUCGAAAUGCUGCUGCUGUUUCUGCAUCCAUACUUCACACGCUUUAUGUUAUCAAAUUGGUAAGUAGUGAUUAAUCUCUCUCCUGAAGUUCUAGUGCAAGAGGAAACAGAUGUAAAAUUGGUAAGUAAUGAUUAAUCUAUCUCCCAGGGUUCUAGUGCAAGGAAACGCUGAUAUAAUUCUUUUCUGGAUCUGCUCUUAGUAGAGUAAUCCGAGUAAUUGGAUUUUUCAAUAUUAAAUCUGACUGCCUUGCCUUAAGAUUUGUUUCUUAACAAGCAUUGACCAUUAGACUAACGGCCUAUAAUUAAGAAGAUUCACCAAAUACAGCUUUGACCCCCCCCCAAAUCCCCUCGUUUUAUUUUGAUAGAAAAUCUAAGACCUCUCUCAUUGGAGUUAUAGUAUAAAUAGUUGAGAAAUUACAGUAUCGCAGUUGAUGAGCUGUCAUAAGGGGAAACAGAAUAGGUCAAAAUAGAUUGAAGGUAAUGACAACUCUAUCAUGAUUCAUCCAUUUCCAUUGAAAUGACAAGUUGUUGUCUACCGAUUUCUUAUCUGUUUUAUAUCUUGUGAUCUGUCACGACAUUUUUGAUUUUGAAAGCAAAUCGAACUAGGUUAGCAGCAGCACAUUCAACCUGAUUUGAACUGGAAUCUUUUGGAACCAGAUUUUAUGGGUAAAGAAGGACCGUGUUUCCAUUGUGGCCUCAAGGUAACCUCCAAUUGGAGAAAUGGGCCACCUGAAAAGCCAGUGCUCUGCAAUGCAUGUGGACUAAGAUGGCGGACAAGGCAUACACUAGAUGGCUAUAUUCCCAAACAUGCUAAUGGAAAAAUACAAAGCUCUCAGUUACCUUCUAAGAUGAAACCGGCUCGUGAUGAGCAAAAGCUAGAAGUUGGAGUAGAGGUUUCUGGACAGUAUGGCUCUUCAGCUUGUCUUGAAGAGGAGAUGAAUAACAUAUCAGCCAUAGGUUCCGCAAGAUCAGCCAUAGACAACUGCAUUCAGAUGGAAGAAACAAAUGGCGUUGUCGAAAUCUUUGACAGUAGAUGAACUGUCCUAUCUAAAGGGGCAAUUUGCAUUGCUGGAGGCAGACAAAAUGGCAACAUAAAAGCUAGAAAACAUAAGAUCUGCGCUACUGAAAUAUGGAACAGAUGCUAUGAAGGAGUCUCAGAUUCCAGAUUUUCUUGCCUCAGUACCACUGACAUAACCACCAUUUGUGUGUUUCCCUGCUUCUUCUGUGGUCCUAGCUUAUGCAUAGUGGUUUCCAAUGUUAUCUUUGACAGCUUAAUGCACUUCAAAAAAAAGGAUGGAUUUUGAAGAAUUCUGCGCAGCUGCCUAAGUAUUCAUCAGUUGGAGGCUCUUGAGUGCUGGGAGCAACAUGCUAGGUGUGCAUAUGAAAUUUUUGAUAAGGAUGGCAAUAGGGCUAUUGUUAUAGAAGAACUCGCAUCUGAACUUGAACUGGGUCCUACAAUACCAGUUCAUGCUGUCCUUCAUGACUGGAUAAGGCAUACAGAUGGAAAGCUAAGUUUUCUUGGUUUUGUGAAAUUGUUGCAUGGUGCACUUGCAAAGGCGCAGUAGCAUUUGAAAGCUUUCGGGAUUGCUCGUUAUACUGUAGUCUGGACAUUGUGGCUGAGAUAAUCUUCAAGCAUUUCAACGUUUUACAGAUAUCAGACACCUUUGCAGUGCAACGCUAAGAAUCCUAGGCCUGCUCUGGGUUCAACUUGCUGGAGUAAACACAUGGUUGAUUGGACUAGCAGAGUAGCAGUUGUUUGUUACCAAGGGGAAUGGUCCUGCUUGCAACUCCUGCCAACAGGGAUUUACAAGAUGAAGUGACUGGUUUGCCACUUAAAUUGGGAUUGUGGUUUCAGUAUAGAUUAAUAGGGCCUUAGUUUAUUCAGCGCUGGAAUUGAUUGAUUUCUAUUUAUUGUCAAAUUUGAGUCCAGGCUAAAGUUGCCGGAAUUAUAUCUUAGCAGAUAAAAGUGCGUACUAUUUGAAAACCGACAACAUACCCAAUGUAUUCCCACACAGGGGGGUCUGGGGAAGGUAGAGUGUACGCAGAUCAUACCAUUACCUCAAAUGAAGUACUUACUAUUUGGAAACCAAAUGACUAAAAUAAUGCUGCCACAAGUUAUACAUAUUCCACAAAAGCUAAUGCACGUCGAUACGAGCCAUAUACAAAUAUUGUCAAUGACAUUAUAUUUCACCAGUUCUGCUUCUGCUUCAAGUCAGUAUACCAAUUAGCAAUGAUGUAUUGGGAGUUUGGGGCUGUUAUGCUUGUUUUGUGGAAGUGUUAAUUAGUGUUAAUGGUGGUUUAAACCUGAUAAAGUUCAUCUAUUUACUCAAAAUAUAUCUAGUUAGAUGUAUAUGUUUAUUUCUGUUUGCUUUAAGGAUCAAUGAUUUUUUAUUUUUCUUCUGUACUCGGUGUUCGUACCCAUGGUCUUUUGGAAAGAAUCUCUCUAUCUCUAUGAGGUACUGAUAUGAUCUACAUAUACUUUACCCCCUUCUAACCACACUUUAUGAGAUUUCAUUGGUAAUGUUGUUGUCGGUGUGCGUACCUAUUGUAAAGGUUGGGCUAAUUCAAAGUCGCACUUGGAAGGAAAAAUCUUUUUUAAAAUCAUUUGAUUAUAUAUAUAACACUACACGUGAUGAAACAAACCAUAA